ACCACGCACACAAUCACACACAUUUUAUAUUUUAACAUCUGAAGAAAUUUAACUGUUACAGUUAUGUUUUGGUGGUAUUCGUGCAAGUGAACUUUGCAUCGCUUUCUGGCAAACAAAAAAUCGUGCUGAGGAAAAGCUGACCAAUUGACUGAACUAAAAUGCGAGUUAAAAGGUAAAGAUGCUGAAAUUUACCGCGCACCGGAGACACACCGGAGUUUUCUUCAUGAGCAAAAAUGGUUCUUUCCAUAAUGCUGUAAUUCCUGAAUAAAAAUCAUAUGAGCUGUAAAUCUUCAGUUGCUUCCAUCGCUCUGCCAAGAGAGAUUAUUUCCGUAUCUGGACGGAGGAGUCCGCCGGAGUCCGCAUGAAUACCUUUUCCCUACCAAUGUUCCACAGGACGAAUGUUAAACUUGUUUUCAAAAAUAAUUCAUUUAUGUUCAAAUAAAUGUUGUUUCCAAGACUAUAAAUUCUUGAUGUUGUUCGGUUCUUGUUUUUUUUCUCUUCAAUUUGUCUGAUCUGGAAGGGGGAUAAUCUGCUCGACCCUUGUAUAUACUUCAACUAUGCAUAACAAAUAAGUCAUAUGGUUCGAGUUUUAAAAAAUGGAUUGUAUUUCAACCAUUUGUCAAAGAAUGAGGCGAAAAUUUUGUUAGCGAAAAUUGUCAUUUUUGUAUGGUAACCUAACUUAACAACCCGUUCCCCAUAUUGUCAUUCGGCUAAUAACCAUUUCAUAUAAUGUCAAAACCAUUGAUGGUAGUGUGGACUUAUAGUUGCGAACGACGUUUUAUGGCAAUGUUGAGAUGUAUUUACUAAUGGUUAUGGAAAAUAAUGGUGAAGG